GGAAUCUUCGGCAAUGGGGGCAACCCUGACCGAGCAACGCCGCGUGAGUGAAGAAGGUUUUCGGAUCGUAAAGCUCUGUUGUAAGAGAAGAACGUGUGUGAGAGUGGAAAGUUCACACAGUGACGGUAACUUACCAGAAAGGGACGGCUAACUACGUGCCAGCAGCCGCGGUAAUACGUAGGUGGCGAGCGUUAUCCGGAUUUACUGGGUGUAAAGGGCGCGUAGGCGGGGGUGCAAGUCAGAUGUGAAAUCUAUGGGCUCAACUCAUAAACUGCAUUUGAAACUGUACUUCUUGAGUACUGGAGAGGUAGACGGAAUUCCUUGUGUAGCGGUGAAAUGCGUAGAUAUAAGGAAGAACACCAGUGGCGAAGGCGGUCUACUGGACAGCAACUGACGCUGAGGCGCGAAAGCGUGGGGAGCUAACA
rnacentral:rRNA from 1 species